GCUGAUUCCAGACGCCAUAUUUGUUUACAAAUGUGGCAGUAUACAUGUGAAGUGUUACGACAGAAAAAGGAACCUGUGACCACUGGAGGCAGUGCCACAAGUUCCUCCAAAUGUCGUAACACAACAUACACACAUAUGUAAUACUAACUAAUGUAAAUCCACCCGAUGAUGGAGGUUUAAACCUUCGAAACGCGUCGUGGGAAAAAAUAAAACGGUGACUGGUAACAGUAAA